UGGGGAAUAUUGCGCAAUGGGGGAAACCCUGACGCAGCAACGCCGCGUGAAGGAGGAAGGCUUUCGGGUUGUAAACUUCUUUGAUGAGGGACGAAAGAAAUGACGGUACCUCGAAAACAAGCCACGGCUAACUACGUGCCAGCAGCCGCGGUAAUACGUAGGUGGCGAGCGUUGUCCGGAAUUACUGGGUGUAAAGGGCGUGUAGGCGGGGAUGCAAGUCAGAUGUGAAAUGCCGGAGCUUAACUCCGGAGCUGCAUCUGAAACUGUGUUUCUUGAGGGUCGGAGAGGAAAGCGGAAGUCCCAGUGUAGCGGUGAAAUGCGUAGAUAUUGGGAGGAACACCAGUGGCGAAGGCGGCUUUCUGGACGAUAACUGACGCUGAGGCGCGAAAGCGUGGGGAGCAAACA
rnacentral:rRNA from 1 species